UACAGAGGUGGCAAGCGUUGUUCGGAAUUACUGGGCGUAAAGCGUGCGCAGGCGGCUUUGCAAGACAGAUGUGAAAUCCCCGGGCUUAACCUGGGAACUGCAUUUGUGACUGCAUGGCUAGAGUGCGGCAGAGGGGGAUGGAAUUCCGCGUGUAGCAGUGAAAUGCGUAGAGAUGCGGAGGAACACCGAUGGCGAAGGCAGCCCUCUGGGCCAACACUGACGCUCAGGCACGAAAGCGUGGGGAGCAAACAGG
rnacentral:rRNA from 1 species